rnacentral:rRNA from 1 species
CACGUAGGGCGCAAGCGUUGUCCGGAAUUAUUGGGCGUAAAGAGCUCGUAGGCGGUCUGUUGCGUCCGCUGUGAAAACUCGGGGGCUUAACCCCCGAGCCUGCAGUGGAUACGGGGCAGACUAGAGGUAGGUAGGGGGAGAAUGGAAUUCCCGGUGUAGAGGUGAAAUUCGUAGAUAUCGGGGAGGAACACCAGUGGCGAAGGCGGCGUCUGGG